UAGGGAAUAUUGGACAAUGGGUGCGAGCCUGAUCCAGCCAUGCCGCGUGCAGGAAGAAAGCCUUCUGGGUUGUAAACUGCUUUUCUCUGGGGAUAAAAGACCCGUGCGCGGGAAAUUGAAGGUACCAGAGGAAUAAGCCACGGCUAACUACGUGCCAGCAGCCGCGGUAAUACGUAGGUGGCAAGCGUUGUCCGGAUUUAUUGGGUUUAAAGGGUGCGUAGGCGGUGAUUUAAGUCAGUGGUGAAAUACGGCAGCUCAACUGUCGAGGUGCCAUUGAUACUGGGUCACUUGAGUACUGAUGAGGUAGGCGGAAUGGACGGUGUAGCGGUGAAAUGCUUAGAGAUCGUCCAGAACACCGAUAGCGAAGGCAGCUUACUAAGGAGUAACUGACGCUGAGGCACGAAAGUGUGGGGAUCAAAC
rnacentral:rRNA from 1 species